rnacentral:rRNA from 1 species
CGCGUAGGCGGGUCUUUAAGUCAGAGGUGAAAUCCUGGAGCUCAACUCCAGAACUGCCUUUGAUACUGGAGAUCUUGAGUCCGGAAGAGGUUAGUGGAAUUCCCAGUGUAGAGGUGAAAUUCGUAGAUAUUGGGAAGAACACCAGUGGCGAAGGCGGCUAACUGGUCCGGUACUGACGCUGAGGUGCGAAAGCGUGGGGAGCAAACA